UGCAAGUCGAACGUGAAAGCACUUCGGUGUGAGUAGAGUGGCGGACGGGUGAGUAACGCGUGGGAAUCUGCCCAGUAGUGGGGGACAACUACCGGAAACGGUAGCUAAUACCGCAUACGCCCUAUGGGGGAAAGGCUUCGGCCGCUAUUGGAUGAGCCCGCGUCAGAUUAGCUAGUUGGUAGGGUAAAGGCCUACCGAGGCAACGAUCUGUAGCUGGUCUGAGAGGACGAACAGCCACACUGGGACUGAGACACGGCCCAGACUCCUACGGGAGGCAGCAGUGGGGAAUAUUGGACAAUGGGCGAAAGCCUGAUCCAGCAAUGCCGCGUGUGUGAAGAAGGCCUGCGGGUUGUAAAGCACUUUCAGUUGGGAAGAUGAUGACGUUACCAACAGAAGAAGCACCGGCUAAAUCCGUGCCAGCAGCCGCGGUAAUACGGAUGGUGCGAGCGUUAAUCGGAAUUACUGGGCGUAAAGCGCGCGUAGGCGGCUAAGUCAGUCAGAAGUGAAAGCCCAGGGCUCAACCUGGGAAUUGCUUUUGAUACUGCUUGGCUAGAGUUUG
rnacentral:rRNA from 1 species